CUCUUUCUAGUGAAUAUUGCAGUUUCUCCAUUAACAUACGGUAACUUAUAAGCUAAAGCACAUAUGUUAAUGGAGAAACUGCAAUAUUCACUAGUAAGGGUAGAGGGG